GUCCCCACCCAAAUCUCAUCUUGAAUUCCCACAUGUUGUGGGAGGGACUUGGUGGGAGGUAAUUGAAUCAUGGGGGUAGGUCUUUCCUGUGCUGUUCUCAUGAUAGUACAUAAGUUGCAUGAGAGCUGAUGGUUCUAUAAGGGGAGCUUUCCUGCACAAACUCUUUCUUUGCCUGCUGCCAUCCAUCUAAGAUGUGACUUGCCUCUCCUUGUCUUCCACCAUGAUUGUGAGGCUUUCCCAGUCACAUGGAACUGUCAGCAAUGUGGGUGACAGAUACUUCUUUUUGCUGUUGGAACACUUCAUAUUCAUCUCUGGUAUUGUCAUGGCCUUUGACAUACCUUACCAACAAGAGAGUCAGAGCCACAGGAUGAACUUUCUCAACCCAUCCUCUUUAAGGAAAAGAAGUUGUUGGCUGAGUCACGAGGACCUUAUGUAUGCCAAGAACAUCGUUUUUGCCUCCUUAGGUGAAACUUUAUUUCCCACAUUUAGGAUUCAUUAGGAUUAUCUAAGGCAUGGUGGCUCUUUCCUGUAAUCCCAGCUACUCAAGAGACAGAGUAGGAAGGAUCCCUUGAGUCCAGAAGUUCAAGGCUGCAGUGAGCUAUGAUGGCAGUACUGCCCUCCAGCUGGGGAAACAGAGUGAUACCUUGUCUCAAAAAAAAAAAAAAAAAAAAAAAGGAAUAAAAAUAAAAGUGUCAGUAAUUCUUACUCUUCUUCUUGGUCUGCCACCUUCUUGCCUUGGUGACUUUUGGAUCCCCCAUCCCUCUGUUUUCUCAUCUGUAAAAUUGGAAGGAUAACAGGGAGUUGCAGGGUCUACUGGGUUGCUCAUAGGCAUUUAGAGCACUCGCUGGCAUACAGUGAGCACUCUUUAAAUGCACCCAAUCUUAUUCAUAUUCUAGUCAAUACACAAAGAAUCUGCUGUGCUUUUGGAUAGAGAGAAAUGCUUCAUAACAACACCAUCACACAUUAUUGAAAAGAUUUUGGUGUGAUUAGGGCCGACUGACAUCCAAACUUCCCUCCCACCUUUCUGGUCAUAUCUCCUCCUUUUCCCACACUCAGUAUCUUUCCU
rnacentral:lncRNA from 1 species